rnacentral:tRNA from 1 species
GCCGAAGUGGCGGAAUCGGCAGACGCGGCGGAUUCAAAAUCCGUUGCCCGCGAGGGCGUGAGGGUUCGAUUCCCUCCUUCGGCACCA